AUGUUAGAAGGUGCUAAAUCAAUAGGUGCCGGAGCUACUGUCGGUAUUGGAAACGUCCUCAGUUCUUUGAUUCAUUCUGUGGCGUGAAAUCCAUCAUUGGCUAAACAAUCACUUGGUUAUGCCAUUUUGGGCUUUGCUCUCACCGAAGCUAUUGCAUUGUUUGCCCCAAUGAUGGCCUUUCUGAUCUUAUUCAUUUUUCGAUCGCAUAAAAAGUCAUGA
rnacentral:rRNA from 1 species